rnacentral:rRNA from 1 species
UACGUAGGGUGCGAGCGUUAAUCGGAAUUACUGGGCGUAAAGCGUGCGCAGGCGGUUUUGUAAGCCAGAUGUGAAAUCCCCGGGCUUAACCUGGGAAUUGCAUUUGAGACUGUACGGCUAGAGUGUGUCAGAGGGGGGUAGAAUUCCACGUGUAGCAGUGAAAUGCGUAGAGAUGUGGAGGAACACCGAUGGCGAAGGCAGCCUCCUGGGCCAGCACUGACGCUCAUGCACGAAAGCGUGGGGAGCAAACAGG